UACGUAGGGUGCGAGCGUUGUCCGGAAUUACUGGGCGUAAAGAGCUCGUAGGUGGUUUGUCGCGUUGUUCGUGAAAUCUCACGGCUUAACUGUGAGCGUGCGGGCGAUACGGGCAGACUAGAGUACUGCAGGGGAGACUGGAAUUCCUGGUGUAGCGGUGGAAUGCGCAGAUAUCAGGAGGAACACCGGUGGCGAAGGCGGGUCUCUGGGCCGAUACUGACGCUGAGGAGCGAAAGCAUGGGUAGCGAACAGG
rnacentral:rRNA from 1 species